GAUGAAGAACGUAGCGAAAUGCGAUAAGUAAUGUGAAUUGCAGAAUUCCGUGAAUCAUCGAAUCUUUGAACGCACAUUGCGCCCCCUGGUAUUCCGGGGGGCAUGCCUGUCCGAGCGUCAUUGCAACCCUCAAGCGCGGCUUGCGUGUUGGGCGCCGUCCCCCGUGGACGCACCCGAAAGGCAGUGGCGGUACCGUGCUCCGGUGCCCGAGCGUAUGGGCUUAAAACCCGCUCUUGUGGCCCGGCCGGCGCUGGCCUCGACCCCCAACUUUACAAGGUUGACCUCGGAUCAGGUAGGGAUACCCGCUGAACUUAAGCAUAUCAAUAAGCGGAGGA
rnacentral:misc_RNA from 1 species